rnacentral:rRNA from 1 species
GAUGAACGCUGGCGGCGUGCCUAAUACAUGCAAGUCGAGCGAACAGACGAGGAGCUUGCUCCUCUGACGUUAGCGGCGGACGGGUGAGUAACACGUGGAUAACCUACCUAUAAGACUGGGAUAACUUCGGGAAACCGGAGCUAAUACCGGAUAAUAUAUUGAACCGCAUGGUUCAAUAGUGAAAGACGGUUUUGCUGUCACUUAUAGAUGGAUCCGCGCCGCAUUAGCUAGUUGGUAAGGUAACGGCUUACCAAGGCAACGAUGCGUAGCCGACCUGAGAGGGUGAUCGGCCACACUGGAACUGAGACACGGUCCAGACUCCUACGGGAGGCAGCAGUAGGGAAUCUUCCGCACUGGGCGAAAGCCUGACGGAGCACGCCGCGUGAGUGAUGAAGGUCUUCGGAUCGUAAAACUCUGUUAUUAGGGAAGAACAAAUGUGUAAGUAACUAUGCACGUCUUGACGGUACCUAAUCAGAAAGCCACGGCUAACUACGUG